rnacentral:rRNA from 1 species
UGGGGAAUAUUGCGCAAUGGGGGGAACCCUGACGCAGCCAUGCCGCGUGAAUGAAGAAGGCCUUCGGGUUGUAAAGUUCUUUCGGUAUUGAGGAAGGUUGAUGUGAUAAUAGCACAUCAAAUUGACGUUAAAUACAGAAGAAGCACCGGCUAACUCCGUGCCAGCAGCCGCGGUAAUACGGAGGGUGCGAGCGUUAAUCGGAAUAACUGGGCGUAAAGGGCACGCAGGCGGUUAUUUAAGUGAGGUGUGAAAGCCCUGGGCUUAACCUAGGAAUUGCAUUUCAGACUGGGUAACUAGAGUACUUUAGGGAGGGGUAGAAUUUCACGUGUAGCGGUGAAAUGCGUAGAGAUGUGGAGGAAUACCGAAGGCGAAGGCAGCCCCUUGGGAAUGUACUGACGCUCAUGUGCGAAAGCGUGGGGAGCAAACAGGAUUAGAUACCCUGGUAGUCCACGCUGUAAACGCUGUCGAUUUGGGGGUUGGGGUUUAACUUUGGCGCCCGUAGCUAACGUGAUAAAUCGACCGCCUGGGGAGUACGGCCGCAAGGUUA